UACAGAGGGGGCAAGCGUUUAUUCGGAAUUAUUGGGCGUAAAGGGCGCGUAGGCGGCUUGGCAAGUGGAUGGUGAAAUCCCUCGGCUUAACCGAGGAACGGCCGUCCAAACUGCUUCGCUUGAGACCGGGAGAGGUGAGUGGAAUUCCCAGUGUAGCGGUGAAAUGCGUAGAUAUUGGGAGGAACACCAGUGGCGAAGGCGGCUCACUGGACCGGUACUGACGCUGAAGCGCGAAAGCGUGGGGAGCAAACGGGG
rnacentral:rRNA from 1 species